CCUGUGAGGGUUGCUGGAGGUAUCAGAAGUGCGAAUGCUGACAUAAGUAACGAUAAAGCGGGUGAAAAGCCCGCUCGCCGGAAGACCAAGGGUUCCUGUCCAACGUUAAUCGGGGCAGGGUGAGUCGACCCCUAAGGCGAGGCCGAAAGGCGUAGUCGAUGGGAAACAGGUUAAUAUUCCUGUACUUGGUGUUACUGCGAAGGGGGGACGGAGAAGGCUAUGUUGGCCGGGCGACGGUUGUCCCGGUUUAAGCGUGUAGGUGUGUGUUCCAGGUAAAUCCGGUUCACUUUAACACUGAGGCGUGAUGACGAGGCACUACGGUGCUGAAGCAACAAAUGCCCUGCUUCCAGGAAAAGCCUCUAAGCAUCAGGUAACAUCAAAUCGUACCCCAAACCGACACAGGUGGUCAGGUAGAGAAUACCAAGGCGCUUGAGAGAACUCGGGUGAAGGAACUAGGCAAAAUGGUGCCGUAACUUCGGGAGAAGGCACGCUGACACGUAGGUGAAGUGAUUUACUCAUGGAGCUGAAGUCAGUCGAAGAUACCAGCUGGCUGCAACUGUUUAUUAAAAACACAGCACUGUGCAAACACGAAAGUGGACGUAUACGGUGUGACGCCUGCCCGGUGCCGGAAGGUUAAUUGAUGGGGUCAGCGCAAGCGAAGCUCCUGAUCGAAGCCCCGGUAAACGGCGGCCGUAACUAUAACGGUCCUAAGGUAGCGAAAUUCCUUGUCGGGUAAGUUCCGACCUGCACGAAUGGCGUAAUGAUGGCCAGGCUGUCUCCACCCGAGACUCAGUGAAAUUGAACUCGCUGUGAAGAUGCAGUGUACCCGCGGCAAGACGGAAAGACCCCGUGAACCUUUACUAUAGCUUGACACUGAACAUUGAGCCUUGAUGUGUAGGAUAGGUGGGAGGCUUUGAAGUGUGGACGCCAGUCUGCAUGGAGCCGACCUUGAAAUACCACCCUUUAAUGUUUGAUGUUCUAACGUGGACCCGUAAUCCGGGUUGCGGACAGUGUCUGGUGGGUAGUUUGACUGGGGCGGUCUCCUCCUAAAGAGUAACGGAGGAGCACGAAGGUUGGCUAAUCCUGGUCGGACAUCAGGAGGUUAGUGCAAUGGCAUAAGCCAGCUUGACUGCGAGCGUGACGGCGCGAGCAGGUGCGAAAGCAGGUCAUAGUGAUCCGGUGGUUCUGAAUGGAAGGGCCAUCGCUCAACGGAUAAAAGGUACUCCGGGGAUAACAGGCUGAUACCGCCCAAGAGUUCAUAUCGACGGCGGUGUUUGGCACCUCGAUGUCGGCUCAUCACAUCCUGGGGCUGAAGUAGGUCCCAAGGGUAUGGCUGUUCGCCAUUUAAAGUGGUACGCGAGCUGGGUUUAGAACGUCGUGAGACAGUUCGGUCCCUAUCUGCCGUGGGCGCUGGAGAACUGAGGGGGGCUGCUCCUAGUACGAGAGGACCGGAGUGGACGCAUCACUGGUGUUCGGGUUGUCAUGCCAAUGGCACUGCCCGGUAGCUAAAUGCGGAAGAGAUAAGUGCUGAAAGCAUCUAAGCACGAAACUUGCCCCGA
rnacentral:rRNA from 2 species